AACGAACGCUGGCGGCAGGCUUAACACAUGCAAGUCGAACGCACCGCAAGGUGAGUGGCAGACGGGUGAGUAACACGUGGGGAUCUGCCCAAUGGUACGGAAUAGCUCCGGGAAACUGGAAUUAAUACCGUAUGUGCCCUUCGGGGGAAAGAUUUAUCGCCAUUGGAUGAACCCGCGUCGGAUUAGCUAGUUGGUGAGGUAAAGGCUCACCAAGGCGACGAUCCGUAGCUGGUCUGAGAGGAUGAUCAGCCACACUGGGACUGAGACACGGCCCAGACUCCUACGGGAGGCAGCAGUGGGGAAUAUUGGACAAUGGGCGCAAGCCUGAUCCAGCCAUGCCGCGUGAGUGAUGAAGGCCUUAGGGUUGUAAAGCUCUUUCGCCGACGAAGAUAAUGACGGUAGUCGGAGAAGAAGCCCCGGCUAACUUCGUGCCAGCCGCCGCAGUAACAC
rnacentral:rRNA from 1 species